GUUUGUUUUCUCUUAUUUUUUAGUGUAAAUUCACAUUGCGAUAAUUAAGACGUGUCACAGUACUUGUCUAUCCCAAAUUCAUGUAUUUGGUUUUGAUGUUAUAUUUGUUAUUCUCGUGGGAUUUUGUCUGAUGCUUGGUCCGUUUCUGUGUGUGUUACAUUGUAGUGUUGUGUCGUUGUUUUCCUCUUAUAUUUAAUGCGUUUCCCUCAGUUUUAGUUUGUUACCCCGAUUUUGUUUUUUUGUCCAUGGAUUUAUGAGUUUGAACAGCGGUAUACU
rnacentral:lncRNA from 1 species